rnacentral:rRNA from 1 species
GACGAACGCUGGCGGUGUGCUUAACACAUGCAAGUCGAACGGUAAGGCCCUUUCGGGGGUACACGAGUGGCGAACGGGUGAGUAACACGUGAGUAACCUGCCCUCAUCUCUGGGAUAACAGUCGGAAACGGUUGCUAAUACUGGAUAUGAGCCUGCAAGGCAUCUUGUGGGUUGGAAAGAUUUUUUGGUUGGGGAUGGACUCGCGGCCUAUCAGCUUGUUGGUGAGGUAGUGGCUCACCAAGGCUUCGACGGGUAGCCGGCCUGAGAGGGCGACCGGCCACAUUGGGACUGAGAUACGGCCCAAACUCCUACGGGAGGCAGCAGUGGGGAAUAUUGCACAAUGGACGGAAGUCGGAUGCAGCAACGCCGCGUGCGGGAUGACGGCCUUCGGGUUGGAAACCGCUUUCAAUUGUGACGAAGCUUUUUGUGACGGUAGCAGUAGAAGAAGCACCGGCUAACUACGUG